rnacentral:lncRNA from 10 species
GAGUUGUGUACCUAGGAGGAUAAUGGCUGCCUCUGCUGAGUCAUGCAGGUUGUUAGGGAAGUGAGGGAAAGCUGGCAGUCACAGGCCUCACCCAGCUCCCAUGCAAUCCAAAUGGCCAGUCUCACUCUCACCAUGCCCCCUCUAAAGCAUUGAGUCUGUUUCCAAGCAGUGGGUAAGCAGGGGUGAGAACUUGCCGCAGGCUACCCACCUCCCAGCUGUGAAAGAAAAGGGCUUUCGUUCUUCCCCCACCUGUGGAGUCUACACGCUGGAUUUGUGCCCUCCCUUGAGUUCUGGCCAGGAGGCUUCUCCACCUGUUCAAAUUGUUAUAAAGUUCAGCUGGAGACUUCCUUCUCUCCGUGGCAUUUUCCUCAUGCCUCUGGCCACCCUCCCAAAGGAUCCCUGUGAGGCCAGGCAGGAAUGGCCUGCUUGGGGACCCAGCAAGCUUCUAGGGCCUUUGCUGCUGCUUCCUCUACCCCUGUAUUUCGCUCGGCUCUCUAAAUGGACUCAGCUCCAGCUCUCUACUUACAGGUAAAUUGUCUUGUGAUUAUUUCCACAGAACUCUGACUUGGAUAAGCUACCUAAGAUCGGAACCCUCUGAUAAUUUGUGCUGCUAUUUUAAGAUCCAGUUCCAUUCUACAACUGGCUGAAGCAUGAAGUCAACUAAAAUAAACUGAAUUGAGUGGAACUGAACUGAACUGAAGUGAAAUAAUGUGAUUUCCAGUAAACCUGACACCUUAAGGACAGAACAUGAGCCUUGCCCAUCUUCCUCCCAGAGGUCCCAGCACAAUCACCGACUCACACAAUACUCUCAGUGCAUGAGUGAUGAAUUUCACUAACAGCGACCCAUCUCUCUACAUAAUCCACUCCGGUUUCACCAGAGCUGAGAGUAUCAUGAAUUACAUCUAUAGAUAGCUGUAAGCUAAUGACCAAAGCACAUAACUGAAUUCAAACAUAUUCUUUAUUGCAGUCAGAUGUGAGAAAACAAAAUUUAGAAGACAAGCCAGAAAGGAAAUGAAGAACAUAAAGAGCCUGAAUUCUCAUCGUCAAUUUUUCCCUGACUGACUCCGUUUUCCUCUCUUCUUUCCAUUUACCUUUCUGUUCCCAUCCCCAUCAUUUUUGUAGUGUUUAUUGAGUGUCUGCUGCAUGCCAGUCAAUGUGCUGAGUACUUUUCAUGUGUUAUACCAUUUGAUCGUCACAGCAGCACACUAUUAUAAUUAUGAAUAUGAUUCCACAUACUAUAUCUAAAAUUUAACUUAAUUUUACAUAGGAGGAAGCUGAGACUUGCCCAAGACUACUCCAUUAGUAAGAUGUGAACCAAGUGAACCAUGUCUGACUCAAACCUAACCCCUGAUUCUCUGAAUCCAUAUCACCGUAGAACUCAACAGUGAAAUAUUGGGGUAGAGGUAAUGCUAUUAGUACACAAACUAUGCACAGAUUUACAAGCAACUAAACAGGAACUCAUGGCCAGGCACAAUGGUUCAUGCCUGUAAUUCCAGCACUUUGGGAGGCCAAGGUGGGCAGAUCACCUGAAAUCAGGAGUUCAAGAUCAGUGUGGCCAACAUGACAAAACCCCAUCUCUACUAAAAAUACAAAAAUUAGCUGGGUGUGGUGGCACAUGCCUGUAAUCCCAGCUACUCAGCAGGCUAAGGCAGGAGAAUUGCUUGAACCUGGGAAGGAGAGGUUGCAGUGAGCCGAGAUCACAUCACUGCACUCCAGCCUGGGUGACAGAGCAAAACUCUAUCUUAAAUGAAUAAAUAAAUAAAAAUGAAAAAAACAAACAAAUGAAAGAAAGUCACGAGCACAACUUCUGACUCCCCCUCCAUCUUUUCCAUUGUUCCCUGUCUCUCUGCUUAAAAACAAUCCGAGUGACUCUCACUUUUUCCUUGUGUCUCCCACCCAUCUACCCUACUCUUGCUCUACACAGUUAAGGAUUGUUUUGAAAUUCUAUGGGGAAAAAUUAUAAAAUUUAUAAUCCCAAAGAGUCCAUCCAAUUGUCUGUAACAAGAUUUAAAGCUUAGUAUUAUCUCAACCCAAAAUUUGACAAAUGACAGUUUCCUUGUUGCUUGUACACACGUCACUCCAACAGCUGAAAAGCCAGGAUAGAUGUUUGCCAGUAACUUCCUUGCAGAGGCCUUAAUAAACUUAAGCAUGAUAUAUACCAAUAACCUAAUAAAUAUAUUGAGGGUUUCUUCUUAGCCAUAUCCUUGAUAUAAAGUGACAUCUGAGUUUUAUGACGUUUAAGGUUUUUGCCUUUUCUUCUGUCUUGGUGGCUAUUAACUGAGCACAUUUCUAUUUGUGAAUCAUAAGCUAAUGUAUUUACAUUUAGGAACAGAAAAUCAUGUCACUUGAUAAGUAUGCAGGUGUCAUAAGCUCCAGAGCACCAGCAAAAGAUGCAGGUGCUGACCACUUUGUUUCAUGUCAAAAUUCACUGUCUGAAGAUGCUCUGUGACCAUGAGGCUCAUCAAACACUCAACAUUCAAAAGAACUCUUACCACAUUCACACAGCAAAUCAGCAAAUCAUUUUUAAUCAUAAAUCAUCUUUGUUUGAAAACAAUUUACUCACUUGAAUUCUAGGUAACAUUCUAGGUUAUGUGUUCAUUUAGAUGUUCUUCUUUUCCAUGGAAAUCAAUUAAAAACAAAUGCACCAUCUUGGGAGAUGAGCUUAAAAGAUUAAUGUCAGACUUUUUGAAAAAACAAUUACUUGGGCAGAAUUAUGAAUGAACAACGUGUGACGUUUUUGUCAUUUUUUUUUUUUGGUUCUUUUAUUCUGCAUAUUUCAGUUUGGCUUUUAAUUUCAUCAAAAUUAUAGAUGCACAUAAUUCUUUUAAGCAUAGUAGGAAGACCAUGGGCUUCCUAAUGUGCUUAAAACAGGGUCCUCACACCUUGUCCAAUAUAUCCGAGAUUUCUCCCCUUUCUAGAGAAAACUACUUUAAAUUCUGAUAGAUUUUUUGUUGCUGUUGCUCAUAGUUACUUCCAUAACUCUAAAUAGCUCAUGCUGUUACUUUUAAUAUUUCUAUUUUGAGGCUAUCUAAUGGGUUCUCUCUAUGGAAAAUCAAGAUUCACUCUCAUUCACUCUCCCUCAACCUGACUGACCCCCAAGUAUCAUCUUCAUUAGUUUAGUUAGAUUACUAUACAGUAUUUACCUUAUUAUAGUUAGGUCAAUGCUGGGUCACAUAUUAAUCUAUAAUAACUUUUCCUUUUUAUGAGCAAUAUUUUGGUUUUACUUGAAGUUAAUCAUCACACUUGUGUUUGCUUAGUUGUGCAAAUGUCUGUCACUAACUUUGCAAACUUUUCCUCCAGUGUCUAAGCUUCACACAUGAGCUAAUUUUAUUGAUUGCAUCUUUAUUUCAUCUCUGGUGACAUCUGACCUGUUCUAGUCUGGACAGGUUUCUUCCCAGUCCCCAGCUGGCUCUUUCUUAACCACCAACUUGGGUUUGGAUUUCCUAUAACUGGAUCCUGUGUCUUUAUUGCUAGUUUAGUUCAUAGUUUUGGUGGAGCAUAUUCUCAAGACCAUCCAUGUGUGGAGAACUAAUUUGACAAAGACUUGAUGUGAACAUGUCUCUAUUUUCUAAUGUAAAUCAUUUUCCCUUGGGAUAUCAAAAGUUUACUGCAUUGACUUCUUCCCUCUAGUAUUGUUUUUGAGGCAUCUAAAGCCAAUCUGAUUCCUGAUCCUUCAGAAGAACCUCCUGCUGCUUUGGGGAGAAGGAGGUUCCUCUACCUGGUAGCUUUUGGGUACUCCUCUUUGCCCCCAUGGCUGAAAUUCACAAUGAAGUGCUUGGUGUGGUUUUAUUUUUAUAGGUUAUGCUGUACACUCAAUAGGUCCUUAUAUAGGAAAAAAACAAAAAAUAAAUAACAAAAAAAACAACAACACUGUUUUCUUCUUGAUACGUCACUUUCAAUGCAUCUGACAAGAGACAGGGGAGGAGUGUUACCACACCAAGCAAUUCUCCACUUCUUGGCAGACACCAACUGGGUGCCCCCCAGUUCAAUUCAACUCUGACACUAACAGAAUCAAUGUAGGCCCCAAAGUUUAAAGGUUCAGUCCCACAAGACUGCCCCACACUUUGCAGGCCAGUUGCAAACAGUAGGUUCCCAGAUUACCCACAACUUCUGUCCUACUUGGCUACAAACCAGAGUUUCCCACACCCAACUCUGUGGGUUUGACAAUUUGCUAGAGUGGCUUAUAGAACUCAGAAAAGCACUUUGCUGUUAUCAGUUUAUUAUAAAAAGAUACAGCUCAGUAACAGCCAGAUGAAGAGAUGCCUAAGUUAAGAUAUGAGGGAAGGGGCACGCAGGCUCCAUGCCCUCCAUGGGUGAGCCACCCUUCCAGGACCCCCACACGUUGAGAAAUCUGGAAGCUCCCCAAACACAGUCUUCUUGGGGUUUUAUGGAGGCUCCAUUUAGCAGGCAGGAUUGAUUAAAUCAUUGGCUGUUUGUGAUGUUCAUCUCCAGCCCUCUCUCCACUGGUGGAAGGUUGAAGGGUGUGGCUGGAUGUUCCAACCCUCUAAUCAUUUGCUUAGUUCCUCUGACAAGCAGCCUCGUCCAGUGCCUGUCCAGGAGUCUCCAGCCACCAGUCAUCUCAUUAGCAUACUAAAAGAUGCUUAUCAUGUCAGAGGUUCCAAGGGUUUUAGGAGCUACAUGCCAUAAAAUCAAAUAUUUAGUGGAAGACUAAUAUGGUUUGGCUAUGUCCCCACCAAAAUUUCAUCUUGAAUUGUAGCUCCCAUAAUUCCCACGUGUCAUGGGAGAGACCAGGUGGGAGGUAAUUUAAUCAUGGGGGCAGGUCUUUCCCAUGCUGUUCUCAUGAUAGCGAAUAAGUCCCAUGAGAUCUGAUGGUUUUAUAAAUGGGAGCUCUUCUGCACAAACUCUCGUCUGCCACCAUGUAAGAUGUCACUUUGCUCUUCCUUCAUCUUCUACCAUGAUUGUGAGGCCUCCCCAGCCAUGUGGAAUUGUGAAUCCAUUAAUCUUCUUUCCUUUAUAAAUUACCCAAUCUCAAGUAUGUCUGUAUUAGCAGCAUGAGAACAGACUAAUACAAAGACCAAAAUAUAUAUUUCUUAUUAUAUCACAGUAGCACAGCCCUCUUAAUGUACAAACUCAUUUUCUACAAUUCUGGCUAAUUUCUUGAAUUUUUUUUCUCUAAUAAUUUCUUUUCUCUCUUCUUUUUCCUGUUAUUCAGAUGGAUGUACCUGCUUCUUGAGCUGAAUUCUCACCAAUCCCUCAUUUCUGGUCAUUCUUAACCUUACUCCCAGAUGUGUUUGGUCUACUGCAGCCUUCGGAUCCCUACUAGAGUUUGCCUUAGGAAUCAGCUUUCUCAGACCUGUGUCUGAGAUAAAAUGUCUGGGAUAAAAUGUCAUUUAUCCUGCUUCCUGGAUUCUGAAAUUUGAUGAUUCUGUUCUCCUCUUUCAUCUCUUCUUUCUUAAACCCUUUUUUUUAAAAAAAAAUCCUGUAACUGUCAUUUACUGGAACUUCAGAGAGAAGCAGAGGUUAAUACCUAUGUUCAAUGGAUACAGGAGAUAAAAAGAAAUUAUUUAGGCAGUUAAUGAGGGUAAGAGAGUUCUUGGCAAGGCUUCCCUUUUAACACAAGCAACCCGCCAAAUCAUUUCUUUUCUAACAAAGAGCAGCCGGUAAAAUCAAGCCACAGACACAGAUAAGCAAGCUAGAAGCUUUCACAGGUAAAUGUGGCAACUGUGCCAAUAGAAACACACUACCUAAGGGCCAGGUAUGUUCAACAUGGAGGUUCCCUCUUCCCUUUUGUGGCUACAUAAGUGGUAAAAAAGCAUGGAGCCAGCCAGGUAGAGGCCUCAUCUGCAUAAUAAAAGAUUAGGGUGAGAUGUCCAGCUUCUUCACGCCCUAUGCAAACAGCACACCUGGUCUGACUAAUCUCUUGAUCCCUAUGUAAAUGAGACACCGCCUCCUCAAGCUCCUCUAUGAAAUCCCUUGCAUUUCAGUAGGAAACCAGAAGACCCACUUGGGAGCCCCAUGCUCUCUCUGCAGGAAAGAGAGCUUUUCUUGUCUCUUUUCUCUCGCCUAUUAAACCUCAGCUCUUCAACUCACUUCUUGUGUGUCUGUGUCCUUGAUUUCCUUAGUGUGAGACAACGAACCUCAGAUAUUUACCACAGACAACGUAGCCACUUCACAAUCUUGCAAAUUUUCACCAAGUCCUUUUCAUUAUUAUGUAAGGAGUUGGAACUGACUGAUGAGGGUUUGAUUGUGAUUGCCUCUAGCUCUCCCUGAUAGCAUUUGGAUGAGCUGGACAGAUGUAGGAUUAACAAAGGUCUGUAGGGUGGAGCAAAUAUGUCUCAUUACCAAGGGUAAAAUUUCAAGUGAAGAGGCUCCCAUACUAGAGCAACCACAACAAAACAAAUAACCAUGGAUUUGGGACUGAACACUAGGAAAGAGUGAAUAUAUGUUUUUGAGGUCAGCUGUGCUGAAGGCAAGAGAAGAACAUUGCCAAGUAACUUCCAAAUGUGACAUUUUUCAACCUUGGUUUAUGACUGAAAAGCCAAGAAAGACUAAGCUAAAAUGGAAUUCAGCUUCCCAGCCUAAAUAGUGGGAGAGGUCCAAAAUACAGCUAAGGAAAAUUUUACUGGGAAAGCUAGUUGUAUCCAUUUACUCUGUUCUACACAUAUCAAUUAGAAAUUUUAAAAAGGUAAGUUUGAUCAAGCUUUUAUUCCGACAUUUGAAAA